UGUGCCUAAUACAUGCAAGUCGAACGCGUUGGCCCAAUUGAUUGAYGGUGCUUGCACCUGAUUGAUUUUGGUCGCCAACGAGUGGCGGACGGGUGAGUAACACGUAGGUAACCUGCCCAGAAGCGGGGGACAACAUUUGGAAACAGAUGCUAAUACCGCAUAACAGCGUUGUUCGCAUGAACAACGCUUAAAAGAUGGCUUCUCGCUAUCACUUCUGGAUGGACCUGCGGUGCAUUAGCUUGUUGGUGGGGUAACGGCCUACCAAGGCGAUGAUGCAUAGCCGAGUUGAGAGACUGAUCGGCCACAAUGGGACUGAGACACGGCCCAUACUCCUACGGGAGGCAGCAGUAGGGAAUCUUCCACAAUGGGCGCAAGCCUGAUGGAGCAACACCGCGUGAGUGAAGAAGGGUUUCGGCUCGUAAAGCUCUGUUGUUAAAGAAGAACACGUAUGAGAGUAACUGUUCAUACGUUGACGGUAUUUAACCAGAAAGUCACGGCUAACUACGUGCCAGCAGCCGCGGUAAUAC
rnacentral:rRNA from 2 species